AGUCCUUCACGAAAGCUAAUCAAUCCCCAACGACGCAGAAGAUGCGUUUCCUACUCGUCUUAAUGCUCCUGGCCACCCUUCUUGCUGGAGUCCUACCGCAUCCCAGACGCAGACUCAACAAGGGGCGGGACACCAGGUUUGGGAGUCGAAAGACCACUCCCAUCAACAGACAGCCACCUGAAGCUCUGCAAUUCAAUCCUCCUCUACUUCUUAGAGGCAAGUAACUCGUGAAAAAAAGAGAAGUUUGUUCUAUAACCUCACUUUGUGACC
rnacentral:lncRNA from 1 species